rnacentral:rRNA from 1 species
AAAGAAAUCGUUAAGGGCGUAUGGCGGAUGCCUAGGCUUUCAGAGGCGAAGAAGGACGUGGUAAGCUGCGAAAAGCUGCGGGGAUUGGCACACACGAAUUGAUCCGCAGAUGUCCGAAUGGGGCAACCCGGCAUAUUGAAGAUAUGUCACCCAGCAAUGGGAGCAAACCCGGAGAACUGAAACAUCUAAGUACCCGGAGGAAAAGAAAUCGAAGAGAUUCCGUAAGUAGUGGCGAGCGAAAGCGGAUUAGCCCAAAAGUCUUUAUAUGUUUAAUAGAACACACUGGAAAGUGUGGCCAAAGAGGGUGAUAGCCCCGUAUAUGAAAGGCAUAUUUGGAUGAUAAAUGAGUAGGGCGGGACACGUGAAAUCCUGUCUGAAUAUGGGG